AUUGAACGCUGGCGGCAUGCCUUACACAUGCAAGUCGAACGGUAACAGGUCUUCGGAUGCUGACGAGUGGCGAACGGGUGAGUAAUACAUCGGAACGUGCCUAGUAGUGGGGGAUAACUACUCGAAAGAGUGGCUAAUACCGCAUGAGAUCUACGGAUGAAAGCAGGGGAUCGCAAGACCUUGUGCUACUAGAGCGGCCGAUGGCAGAUUAGGUAGUUGGUGGGAUAAAAGCUUACCAAGCCGACGAUCUGUAGCUGGUCUGAGAGGACGAUCAGCCACACUGGGAAUGAGACACGGACCAGACUCCUACGGGAGGCAGCAGUGGGGAAUUUUGGCCAAUGGGCGCAAGCCUGAUCCAGCAAUGCCGCGUGCAGGAUGAAGGCCUUCGGGUUGUAAACUGCUUUUGUACGGAACGAAAAGCCCUGGGUUAAUACCCUGGGGUCAUGACGGUACCGUAAGAAUAAGCACCGGCUAACUACGUGCCAGCCGCCGCCGUAAGAC
rnacentral:rRNA from 1 species